rnacentral:lncRNA from 1 species
AUGGCCUCGGAGCCCCAGGAGCCGCUGGCAUCUGGCGCCUUUCUCAUCCACACAGGCGCGGAUGGCCCAGGGCAGGCGAGGAGCCGGGCCUCAGCUCCGCAGGUACAGAAGAAAGGCCCGCCCGGAAGAGGCCUCUGCGCAGCUUGUGAGCAGCCGCAUCUUCCAGACAGAGACGCGUGCAUAUGGUGUGCUUCCAGCUCCUCCUUAACCUCCCGGUCUCUGGGAUAUUCGAAGUGAUCUCACCUGGAGAAGGACCGCGCUCAUCCUGCCACCUGGGGCGUUUUCUCUGGGGGGGCUUACUGUGCUCUGGAGAACGAAUGUGGCCAGCUCUGUAAUGUUGGGCUCUGCUACUCUCCGGCAGGUAAUGUCUACAAAGGAGUCAUGUUCUACACAUAUUUAGCAUACACAAAUUUAAUUUUAAGCAUUUUGGAAAAGAGAGAGACGGAAAUAGUAAUUUAAAUACACUGCAGAUGAUUCUACCCACUGUUCCACUCAAGAGGCACCUGUGGCGGGAUGCGUGUGGGGUGGGGGAAGGGAAGUGGUCCUUCGCAGCUUAGCCUCAGUUUGCCCAGGAAGCUCGCAGCCCAGGCAUCUCCUCAUGAGCGUGAUUCUGGUGUUCCAGAAACUAGUCCUCAAAAGGAAGUGUCCUUUCCUAGCAAAAGCUAUGUAUUCGGUGCUUUAUGUCUGGUUUAAGGGCUAAAAGGUAAUUUCUAAUAAUAGACACUUUUUUACCUUAUGCACACGAGCACUAAACUCUCAUAUAAGAUUCAACUCCAUUCUACUAUCUUUAGUGAGACUUGCUAAGAAUUUAACACAUUUUUAAAAAUCCAGGGGAAAAUACUUUUUAACAGAAGCUGGUGUAUAUUGGAGCCUUAGGUUUUCAAGGGUGGGUGGUUGGUCAACAGGAAGCUUACCAAGGUUUUCCGGAGAUGGGAGUCAAGCCACGGAUCCAGUCGUGGACAGGUGUGGCUCUGAAAGAGGCAGGCAGGCCAAGCAAAACCAUCCACUGCUAAGAAAGCAAAGCAAACCCGGAAGCAAUCAGAACGAAAACGGGAGUUACUUUCCAGCAUGCUCCAGGUUCCUAGGUGUGCCUCGCGUCAUCUUAGAAGCUAAAUGCUUUGUCCUAAGUAGAAUUGUUUUUAUUUUACUUUUAAAAUUAUGAAUUGCUUCAAUCAUAUUUAAGUAGGCACACAGCCAUCCCACAGCCACCCAUUUAUCUAACAUCUAGCUUUGUCAUAGAUUAACAUUCUGCCAUUCUGGGUUCAGAAAUUUUUUUAAGAAGGCGGAAAACAUUGCAGAUAUGAUUAACUGUUGGUUCCCUUCACGGAAGGAACUAAGCCUUCUGUUGCUGUGUGAAGGCCCAUUCUGGACUCAUGCUGGGAAAUCAUUCACUGUUUUCAGAAUCAUUUUUUGCUUCCCCUUCUUGUAGCACUAAGAGCUAGGGAGAGGUAUUAAGGCCAUUCCCCCUGUUGUUGGCCACCCAAGUCAAUUCACAAAAGCCCCCUAUAGCAAGAGAAUAAACCCCAUCAUCUCUUUAUUCCGGCUGUUUUA